UACGGGGGGAGCAAGCGUUGUUCGGAAUUACUGGGCGUAAAGCGCGCGUAGGCGGCUUUGUAAGUUAGAGGUGAAAGCCCGGAGCUCAACUCCGGAACUGCCUUUAAAACUGCAUCGCUUGAAUCCAGGAGAGGUGAGUGGAAUUCCGAGUGUAGAGGUGAAAUUCGUAGAUAUUCGGAAGAACACCAGUGGCGAAGGCGACUUACCGGACACAUAUUGACGCUGAGGUGCGAAAGCGUGGGGAGCAAACAGG
rnacentral:rRNA from 1 species